UUUCUAUAUUUAUAUUGUUUUCUGUGAACAAAAAUGACUUGAUAAGUCAGCAGAAGUAAGCAGAUAAUGAAAUUCUCUGUUAUAGCCCAAAUAAACACGAUUUGCAUGUUUGCAAAUGAACUGUAUGUCAGUGUCCUGCGGCUCAUAAUCAAACAGCUUCAUAUGUGGAUGCAUCAAACUCUCUCAACUCUUGGACUGUGGACUUUAGCUCAAGAAUGCCGCUGUCUCUGGGAAUUAUGUCUCGACAAAAGCAGAAUUUGCUGUGGCUGAUGAUCAUCUGUUGUGCUCUGUGCCAGAUAACCUGCUCAGAAAAACUGAUAAUCCAAGUCAAUUCAACAGAUCAGUGUUUCUGGAACACAAGUAGCUCAACAGUUCCAGAUAUAAAACAGACAUGUCUAUCAUAUAAUAAUGACACUAAUUUUAACUUGAAUGUCACACUAAACAUCUCUUCUCUUGGACAAUGCAGCUCAUACAGUUUCAACAUAACAAAACAGGGGCAGAAUUAUGAAUUAAGAAUGAACGAGAUGGUUGAAGGCAUAAAACUGUGGCUAUUGAAAAAUGAUAAUUGUUUGCCAUCACUUCUGAAUUCAGCAGAAAUGGUGACUUGCCAGAUUGGCAUAAUGAACAUCAGCAGCAUAAAUCUACAGACAGGUUGUCAGAACAACGAGUCUGUUGAUCCUGGAGAGAAAUGUAAAAAGGCGGAAUAUAAACAAGAUACAUGCAGCAAGAAUGAAGGAAGCAAAUACAUUCUGGAAUUUGAACAGAAUAAAUGGAAAUGUGUGACGUGCGUUGAUGGAAACUCAACCACCAUUACACCACUGUCACACACCACAAUUACACAUAAUCCAACUACAAGAUUCACAUCAAAUACGACAACUCAUGAUCCAACUACAAAUUUCACAUCACAUACGACAGAUCACAAUCCAAAUACCAGUUUCACAUCAGAAACGACGAACCCCAGAGCCAACUACACAUUUCACAUCACAUACGACAACUCAUGA
rnacentral:lncRNA from 1 species